rnacentral:rRNA from 1 species
AACGAACGCUGGCGGCAUGCCUAACACAUGCAAGUCGAACGAAGCCUUCGGGCUUAGUGGCGCACGGGUGCGUAACGCGUGGGAAUCUGCCCUUGGGUUCGGAAUAACAGUUAGAAAUGACUGCUAAUACCGGAUGAUGUCUUCGGACCAAAGAUUUAUCGCCUAAGGAUGAGCCCGCGUAGGAUUAGGUAGUUGGUGGGGUAAUGGCCCACCAAGCCGACGAUCCUUAGCUGGUCUGAGAGGAUGAUCAGCCACACUGGGACUGAGACACGGCCCAGACUCCUACGGGAGGCAGCAGUGGGGAAUAUUGGACAAUGGGCGAAAGCCUGAUCCAGCAAUGCCGCGUGAGUGAUGAAGGCCUUAGGGUUGUAAAGCUCUCUUACCAGGGAUGAUAAUGACAGUACCUGGAGAAUAAGCUCCGGCUAACUCCGUGCCAGCCGCCGCGGUAAAAC